CAUCACCAGAUUCUUGCCCAAAUUAGGUAAACCAAUUCGCACAUAGCUAUCACUUUAAUUAAAAUCAAUUAGACGUUGGCUCCUAGGGACAUUCAAGCUCAAUAGGACGAAGAUCACCGAAAGUUGCACCAAUUUCACUCUGUGGCUCAGUUGAUGUCUAGGCAAGCUUUAUCCCAAGGGAGACAGUUCAUCUGUUCAAUGCAAAUGGUUUUUAAGUGGGACCUUUGCAACGCAUCGUGACCCCCCACUUACCUGGGAGCUUACCUGGUCAACUCAGUUCAUUAGACCGGAUUGGAGGCUUAGGUGCCCUCUUCAAACUAGUUAGGAGCUGUCUAGUGAUUUUAGGGCAAACAUAAGGAUUUGAAGUGUUUCUUUUAAUGCAUGCUGGACUGCACUUGACUGAUUAGAAGAAUAUUAGUGUAUGCUAGGGUGUCGCUCCAGAUCUCCUGAAUUAGUACUUUUUGAUUCUGAAAUAGAGCAUUCUAUUAGGGCCCUUCGAGCUGAAAUCCGUACCUAUAGAACCAUAGGAUCUGCUCCACCUAUCGAGAUGGCUGAAGAACAACCCA
rnacentral:lncRNA from 1 species